GAGGGCUCCUGUUCCAGUGGCCUCACUGCUUUCUAAUAGCCUUCACUGGCUUACUGGCUGUACCACAUUUCUGGUGCUCAAUGAUGAAGAACAAGUCACCAGCCAUCUGGGUCUCAGUUGUCUCAUCUGUAAGGAUGAAGGCAAAGUGUAAUUUGUAAAAACAAACAGUUAAGCAUGUGUACAUCCUGGAGAGCGAGAUCCUGGUGAGAAGCAGGAUGGAUUCCACUGAUGCAGAAAGAGUGGCCUGGAGGAGCCUGAAAGGGGUGAUUCAGAGCCAGCACGGA
rnacentral:lncRNA from 1 species